rnacentral:rRNA from 1 species
CAGUAGCCACGGUAAUACGGAGGGUGCAAGCGUUAAUCGGAAUUACUGGGCGUAAAGCGCACGCAGGCGGUCUGUCAAGUCAGAUGUGAAAUCCCCGGGCUUAACCUGGGAACUGCAUUUGAAACUGGCAGGCUAGAGUCUUGUAGAGGGGGGUAGAAUUCCAGGUGUAGCGGUGAAAUGCGUAGAGAUCUGGAGGAAUACCGGUGGCGAAGGCGGCCCCCUGGACAAAGACUGACGCUCAGGUGCGAAAGCGUGGGGAGCAAACAGGAUUAGAGACCCCUGUAGUCCCUGUCUCUUAUAU